rnacentral:rRNA from 1 species
ACUAUGCUUGGCCCUAAACCUCAGUAGUUAAACAACAAAACUACUCGCCAGAAUACUACGAGCAACGGCUUAAAACUCAAAGGACUUGACGGUGCUUUACAUCCCCCUAGAGGAGCCUGUUUCAUAAUCGAUAAACCCCGAUCUACCCCACCCUCUCUUGCUCAGCCUAUAUACCGCCAUCUUCAGCAAACCCUGAUAAAGGUUACAAAGUGAGCGCAAACGCCUCCCCGCAAAGACGUUAGGUCAAGGUGUAGCCCAUGAGACGGUAAAAAAUGGGCUACAUUUUCUAUAUCAGAAAACUCCACGAAAACUCUUAUGAAAUUUGAGAGUCCAAGGAGGAUUUAGCAGUAAAUUAAGAAUAGAGUGCUUAAUUGAACGAGGCCAUAAAGCGCGCACACACCGCCCGUCACUCCCCUCAAAUAUAUUUAGGGAGCAUCUUAACUAAACACCCCAGUAUCUAUAUAGAGGGGAUAAGUCGUAACAUGGUAAGUGUACUGGAAGGUGCACUUGGAUAAAU